rnacentral:rRNA from 1 species
UACGUAGGGGGCAAGUGUUGUCCGGAAUUAUUGGGCGUAAAGAGCUCGUAGGCGGUCUGUCGCGUCGGAUGUGAAAACCCAGGGCUCAACCCUGGGCCUGCAUUCGAUACGGGCAGACUAGAGUUCGGUAGGGGAGACUGGAAUUCCUGGUGUAGCGGUGAAAUGCGCAGAUAUCAGGAGGAACACCGGUGGCGAAGGCGGGUCUCUGGGCCGAAACUGACGCUGAGGAGCGAAAGCGUGGGGAGCAAACAGG